rnacentral:rRNA from 1 species
UACAGAGGGUGCGAGCGUUGUCCGGAAUCACUGGGCGUAAAGGGCGCGUAGGCGGCGCGGUAAGCGUGCGGUGAAAGCCCGGGGCUCAACCCCGGGUCGGCCGUGCCGACUGUUAGACUAGAGUACUGUAGGGGCAGGCGGAAUUCCGGGUGUAGCGGUGGAAUGCGUAGAGAUCCGGAGGAAGACCGGUGGCGAAGGCGGCCUGCUGGGCAGUUACUGACACUGAGGCGCGACAGCGUGGGGAGCAAACAGG